rnacentral:rRNA from 1 species
UACAGAGGGUGCGAGCGUUGUCCGGAAUCACUGGGCGUAAAGGGCGCGUAGGUGGCGACCCAAGUCGAUGGUGAAAGCUCGCCGCUCAACGGCGAGUCGGCCACUGAUACUGGGUUGCUGGAGCACUGUAGAGGCAGAUGGAAUUCCGGGUGUAGCGGUGGAAUGCGUAGAGAUCCGGAAGAACACCGGUGGCGAAGGCGGUCUGCUGGGCAGUUGCUGACACUGAGGCGCGAAAGCGUGGGGAGCGAACAGG